UACGUAGGUGACCAGCGUUGUCCGGAUUUACUGGGCGUAAAGAGCGCGCAGGCGGUCGUUCAAGUCGAGUGUGAAAGCCCCCGGCUCAACUGGGGAGGGUCACUCGAUACUGAUCGACUUGAAGGCAGGAGAGGGAAGCGGAAUUCCCGGUGUAGUGGUGAAAUGCGUAGAUAUCGGGAGGAACACCAGUGGCGAAGGCGGUCAACUGGCCUCAUAUUGACACUCAGACGCGAAGGCAUGGGUAGCGAACGGG
rnacentral:rRNA from 1 species